CUCACUGUUGCCAGGCUGGAGUGCAGUGGCACAAUCUUGGCUCACUGCAACCUCCACUUCUCAGGUUCAAGCAAUUCUCCUGCCUCAGCCUCCUGAGUAGCUGGGACUAUAGGCGCGUGCCACCACAACCAGCUAAAUUUUUUUGUAUUUUUAGUAGAGAUGGGGUUUCACCAUGUUGACCAGGAUGGUCUCAAUCUCCUGACCUUGUGAUCCACCCACCUCGGUCUCCCCAAAGUGCUGGGAUUACAGGCGUGAGCCACUCUGCCUGGCUGGUUAUUUUGUUUGUUUGUUGUUUUUUUGAGACACAGUCUCGCUCUGUCACCAAGCUGGACUGCAGUGGCAUGAUCUCGGCUCACUGCAAUCUCUGCCUCCCAGGUUCAAGCAAUUCUCCUGUUUCAGCCUCCUGAGUAGCUGGGAUUACAGGCGCGUGCCACCAUACCGAGCUAGUUUUUUUAUUUUUAGUAGAGACGGGGUUUCACCAUGUUGGCCAGGAUGGUCUCGCCCUCCUGACCUUGUGAUCUGCCUGCCUCGGCCUCUCAAAGUGCUGGGAUUAGAGGCUUGAGCCACCAGGCCCGGCUGGAAUGCUUGCAUUUUCUUGCCUGAUUUCCCUGGGAGCACCCCCCUUAACACUGAAUGGAGCUGGUGAGAGCAAAUAUCCUUGUUUCUGAUAUUAGAUAUUAAAAAUAUGGUUUUUCACCAUCAAAGAUUUUAUUGAGUUUUUCAUAUAUGCCUUGUAGCAAUUUGAGUAAAUUAUAUUCCUUGUUUGUUGCAGAUUUUUAAUCAUAAAUGGGUGUUGAAUUAUGUCAUGCUUUUUUGCAUCAAUUGAGACUGUCAUUUUUCCGUCAUUUCCUAAUGUGGUGUAUUCCACUGAUCAAUUUCCAUAUGGUGAACCAUCCUUACAUUCCAGGGACAAAUCUCACUUGGUUAUAUUGCAUAAUGCUUUGAAUAUAUUGCUUUAUAUGCUUUGCUG
rnacentral:lncRNA from 1 species